GACGAACGCUGGCGGCGUGCUUAACACAUGCAAGUCGAACGGUGAUCUUGGGAGCUUGCUCCUGGGUGAUCAGUGGCGAACGGGUGAGUAACACGUGAGUAACCUGCCCCUGACUCUGGAAUAACUUCGGGAAACCGAAGCUAAUACCGGAGAUGACACAGAGCCGCAUGGUUGCUGUGUGGAAAGUUUUUUCGGUUGGGGAUGGACUCGCGGCCUAUCAGCUUGUUGGUGAGGUAAUGGCUCACCAAGGCGACGACGGGUAGCCGGCCUGAGAGGGCGACCGGCCACACUGGGACUGAGACACGGCCCAGACUCCCACGGGAGGCAGCAGUGGGGAAUAUUGCACAAUGGGCGAAAGCCUGAUGCAGCGACGCCGCGUGAGGGAUGAAGGCCUUCGGGUUGUAAACCUCUUUCAGUAGGGAAGAAGCGCAAGUGACGGUACCUACAGAAGAAGCACCGGCUAACUACGUGCCAGCCGCCGCCGUAAAAC
rnacentral:rRNA from 1 species